GACGAACGCUGGCGGCGUGCUUAACACAUGCAAGUCGAACGGAAAGGCCCUGCUUGCAGGGUACUCGAGUGGCGAACGGGUGAGUAACACGUGGGUGAUCUGCCCUGCACUUCGGGAUAAGCUUGGGAAACUGGGUCUAAUACCGGAUAGGAGCCAUCUUUAGUGUGGUGGUUGGAAAGUUUUUUCGGUGUUGGAUGAGCUCGCGGCCUAUCAGCUUGUUGGUGGGGUAAUGGCCUACCAAGGCGGCGACGGGUAGCCGGCCUGAGAGGGUGUACGGCCACAUUGGGACUGAGAUACGGCCCAGACUCCUACGGGAGGCAGCAGUGGGGAAUAUUGCACAAUGGGCGCAAGCCUGAUGCAGCAACGCCGCGUGGGGGAUGAAGGCCUUCGGGUUGUAAACUCCUUUCGCUAGGGACGAAGCUUUUUGUGACGGUACCUAGUUAAGAAGCACCGGCUAACUACGUG
rnacentral:rRNA from 1 species